UCAAUCUCGUGCGGCUAUAUAUACCGCCGGUCCCUCUAAGAAGAUUUUCAUUGUACGCCGGUAGUGAAGACCGCGAAACGCACGCACGCGACGCGAACGCCACGAAACGCGCGCACGCGGACCCUCGUGAUACCGGUUGCACGUCUAUUUAAUAGGCUAGAGUUACGUUCGUUAC
rnacentral:rRNA from 1 species